UUGAGCCGUAUGUGGGGGAACUCGCACGUGACUCGCACGUGCGGUUCUUAGGGGGGAGAGCUAGUAGGAACCAUCCUAUCCCAAU
rfam:Vigna radiata var. radiata cultivar VC1973A scaffold_48, whole genome shotgun sequence